ACGCUGACAGAAUGCUUAACACAUGCAAGUCGAUGACUAAGUAUAGCUUGCUAUACAAGGUCAUGGCGGACGGGUGAGUAACGUGUAAAGAACUUACCUUAUAGACUGGGAUAACAGAUAGAAAUGUCUGAUAAUACUAGAUACUAUUACACUGUGGCAUCACAGAGUAAUGAAAGAAUACGCUAUAAGAGAGCUUUGCAUCCUAUUAGCUAGUUGGUAAGGUAAAGGCUUACCAAGGCGAUGAUAGGUAGCCGGCCUGAGAGGGUGGACGGCCACAAGGGGACUGAGAUACGGCCCUUACUCCUACGGGAGGCAGCAGUGGGGAAUAUUGGACAAUGGAGGAAACUCUGAUCCAGCAAUUCUGUGUGUGUGAAGAAGGUCUUCGGAUUGUAAAACACUUUUAGUUGGGAAGAAACAAAUGACGGUACCAACAGAAGAAGCGACGGCUAAAUACGUGCCAGCAGCCGCGGUAAUACGUAUGUCGCAAGCGUUAUCCGGAAUUAUUGGGCUUAAAGGGCAUCUAGGCGGUAUAACAAGUUGAAGGUGAAAAGCUGUAGCUCAACUAUAGUCUUGCCUACAAAACUGUAAUAUUAGAGUACUGGAAAGGUGGGUGGAACUACACGAGUAGAGGUGAAAUUCGUAGAUAUGUGUAGGAAUGCCGAUGAUGAAGAUAACUCACUGGACAGAAACUGACGCUGAAGUGCGAAAGCUAGGGGAGCAAACAGGAUUAGAUACCCUGGUAGUCCUAGCUGUAAACGAUGAUUACUGGGUGUGGGGAUGAGAAGUCUCUGUGCCGAAGCAAAAGCGAUAAGUAAUCCGCCUGGGGAGUACGUUCGCAAGAAUGAAACUCAAAGGAAUUGACGGGGGCCCGCACAAGUGGUGGAGCAUGUGGUUUAAUUCGACGCAACGCGAGGAACCUUACCAGACCUU
rnacentral:rRNA from 2 species